UACGGAGGGUGCAAGCGUUGUCCGGAUUUAUUGGGUUUAAAGGGUACGUAGGUGGGUCUUUAAGUCCGUGGUGAAAGCCCGCAGCUUAACUGUGGAAUUGCCAUGGAUACUGGAGACCUUGAAUUCAGUUGAGGUUGGCGGAAUUUAUGGUGUAGCGGUGAAAUGCAUAGAUACCAUAAAGAACACCUAUUGCGAAGGCAGCUAACUGGACUUGAAUUGACACUGAGGUACGAAAGCGUGGGGAGCGAACAGG
rnacentral:rRNA from 1 species